CUGCGUUUACUGUCGGUAUCGCGGCCAGAGCGGCAGCCCGAGUCAGCCGCGUUGAGCAGCCCGGGCCCAGGGCUGUGCUGCUGGGUGUCUGUGUUCUCCUGCUUCAGCCUCGCCUGCUCCUACGUGGGCAGCCUCUACGUGUGGAAGAGCGAGCUGCCCAGGGACCACCCCGCUGUUAUCAAGCGGCGUUUCACCAGUGUCCUGGUAGUAUCGAGCUUGUCCCCACUUUGCGUGCUGCUCUGGAGGGAACUCACUGGCAUCCAGGCACAUCACUGCUUACCUUGAUGGGCUUCAGGCUGGAGGGCAUUUUUCCAGCAGCUCUGCUGCCCCUGCUGCUAACUAUGAUCCUUUUCCUGGGUCCACUGAUGCAGCUCUGUAUGGAUUGCCCGUGUGACCUGACAGAUGGGCUGAAGGUUGUCCUGGGUGAGUCUUCAAGACUGAGCAAAAGCCCCUCGUUCUUGGGCCCGCCGCCUCACAGACAUGCGCUGGCUACGAAACCAAGUUAUAGCACCCUUGACAGAGGAGCUGGUGUUCCGGGCUUGUAUGCUGCCCAUGCUAGCACCAUGCACAGGUCUGGGCCCUGCUGUGUUCACCUGCCCACUGUUUUUUGGAGUCGCCCAUUUUCACCACAUUAUUGAGCAGCUGCGCUUCCGCCAAAGCAGUGUGGGAAGUAUCUUCUUGUCUGCAGGACACCUGAUAGGGCCGGUUCUCUGCCACUCCUUC
rnacentral:lncRNA from 1 species